UGCUUAAAUAGGCCUAGGAGAGGCGUGUCU
rnacentral:piRNA from 1 species